rnacentral:lncRNA from 1 species
CCUCCGUCGCAGCAAUAGCCUGGGCAAAGGUCCUCCACAGGCAGUGGGCCUUAAAAGCUGCUAUAAGUCCUUGAUCCAUUGGUUGGAUCAAAGAGAUCAUGUUUGGAGGGAGAAACACCGUUUUGAUAUUGGGAUGAAGAUCACCAAUAAAAGGAGGAGGUCCAGGGGCAUUGGCAACAGUAAGCAAAAUCUUGAAAGUCACACCACCUUCUCUUCUGUGUGUCAGUCGCCCCUGCCUCCCUCUUCUAAGAAGAUAUGUGGUUGUAUUGUAUUUAGAGCCUACAUGGAUAAUCCAGGCUAAUCUUCUCAUCCCAAG